CUGAUUUAUUCAGCUAUUCACAGUUUCACUGCACUAUUUGUGUGUACUUAGAGCUGAAUGGCCAAAUCUUUGACACGAGGAUGUUUUUACCGGCAGAAAAGAUGUUUUUGUUUAGAAGUUUCUUUUUUAGACGUGUGUACUCCAGACAGGAGACAUGUUCUCCUGUGUCCUCUGUGACAACUUCAUCCAGCACAACCAUCUGCAGAAGAUCUACACCAUCACACUUCUACAUCAUCUUCAUGAACUAUUGGUGCAAACAAGAGACACCACUGCUGGACCACACAGAGAAGUCUUCUACAUGCUGCCAUCCCAGUCUUUCUUCAAGUAGGUGAGGAAAUGUCACCUGUGAAGCUUCACCUGACCACCUGGCUGGGCCUGAGAAAGACCACUGACAUCAUGCUGCCAUGCUGCACAACAACAACAGAGGAAGCAAGACUUCACGGGACUAAGAGACUCCUCCUCCUCCUGCCAGUGACCUGAGUUCCUCACAGUAGAAGAAAAGCUCUUUCUCUGCUGUGAGUCUUUCUCUUCACCAUCGAUCCUGAUCAUCUAUACUGUCAUCAAAACUCCCAAAGCAUCUUAGUGUGAAACUGCACUGGCCAGGAGAAGACUGGACCUGCAGCACAUUUAAGGACCAGUUCCAUGUUCAUGCCUGCAUGACACCAGCUCUUAAAAAGAGUGUA